GAUGAACGCUGGCGGCGUGCCUAAUACAUGCAAGUCGAGCGAACAGACGAGGUGCUUGCUCCUCUGACGUUAUCGGCGGACGGGUGCGUAACACGUGGAUAACCUACCUAUACGACUGGGAUACCUUCGGGAAACCGUAGCUACUACCGGAUAAUAUAUUGACCCGCAUUGUUCAAUAGUUAAAGUCGGUUUUUCUGUCACUUAUAGAUUGCUCCGCGCCGCAUUAGUUAGUUGGGAAGGUAACUGCUUACCAAGGCAAGGAUGCGUAGCCGACCCGAGCGGGUGGUCGGCCACACGGGAAGUGAGAAAGGGUCGAGACUCCUACGGGAGGACGCAGUAGGGAAUCUUACGGAAGGGGGGAAAGGGUGAUGGAGCAACACCGGGGGAGGGAUGAAGGUCUUCGGAUCGGAAAACGCUGUUAGUAGGGAAGAACAAAUGUGUAAGUAACUAGGCAGGUAUUGACGGUACCUAAUCAGAAAGCCACGGCUAACUACGUG
rnacentral:rRNA from 1 species